rnacentral:rRNA from 1 species
UACGGAGGGUGCAAGCGUUAUCCGGAUUCACUGGGUUUAAAGGGUGUGUAGGCGGACUUUUAAGUCCGUGGUGAAAUCUCCAGGCUUAACCUGGAAACUGCCAUGGAUACUAUUGGUCUUGAAUGCUGUUGAGGUGUGCGGAAUACAUCAUGUAGCGGUGAAAUGCUUAGAUAUGAUGUAGAACACCGAUUGCGAAGGCAGCUCACUAAGCAGAUAUUGACGCUGAGGCACGAAAGCGUGGGGAUCAAACAGG